AAAAAAGAGGAUCAUCCAAAUUUCUCCUAGAAAGAUCAGCAAGGGAAUGUUCAAAAGUAGGGUCCCAUUCAAUAUCAGAACCAACCACAACAAUAUCAACAACAACAACAAUAAUAUCCACCACAACAAUAGCAGUAUCAACAACAAACACCCAAAAGGCUGAUUGGGAACUUGCCAUUGAAAAGAUGGCAGCUCAAAAUUCCUAGUUCCAAGAAAACAAGAAAUAAUCAGAGGAAC
rnacentral:lncRNA from 1 species